GAGACGACAACACGUACGUAGUCUGGUUGUUAAGGUGAGAGGAGACGACAACACGUACGUAGUCUGGUUGUUAAGGUGAGAGGAGACGACAACACGUACGUAGUUUGGUUGUUGAGAGGAGACGACAACACGUACGUAGUCUGGUUGUUGAGAGGACACGACAACACGUACGUAGUCUGGUUGUUGAGGUGAGAGGAGACGACAACACGUACGUAGUCUGGUUGUUGAGGUGAGAGGAGACGACAACACGUACGUAGUCUGGUUGUUAAGGUGAGAGGAGACGACAACACGUACGUAGUCUGGUUGUUAAGGUGAGAGGAGACGACAACACGUACGUAGUCUGGUUGUUGAGAGGAGACGACAACACGUACGUAGUUUGGUUGUUGAGAGGAGACGACAACACGUACGUAGUCUGGUUGUUAAGAGGAGACGACAACACGCACGUAGUCUGGUUGUUAAGGUGAGAGGAGACGACAACACGUACGUAGUCUGGUUGUUAAGGUGAGAGGAGACGACAACACGUACGUAGUCUGGUUGUUAAGGUGAGAGGAGACGACAACACGUACGUAGUCUGGUUGUUAAGAGGAGACGACAACACGUACGUAGUCUGGUUGUUAAGGUGAGAGGAGACGACAACACGUACGUAGUCUGGUUGUUAAGGUGAGAGGAGACGACAACACGUACGUAGUCUGGUUGUUAAGGUGAGAGGAGACGACAACACGCACGUAGUCUGGUUGUUAAGGUGAGAGGAGACGACGUCACGUACGUAGUCUGGCUGUUAAGGUGAGAGGAGACGACAACACGUACGUAGUCUGGUUGUUAAGGUGAGAGGAGACGACAACACGUACGUAGUCUGGUUGUUAAGGUGAGAGGAGACGACAACACGUACGUAGUCUGGUUGUUAAGGUGAGAGGAGACGACAACACGUACGUAGUCUGGUUGUUAAGGUGAGAGGAGACGACAACACGUACGUAGUCUGGUUGUUAAGGUGAGAGGAGACGACAACACGUACGUAGUCUGGUUGUUAAGGUGAGAGGAGACGACAACACGUACGUAGUCUGGUUGUUAAGGUGAGAGGAGAUGAGACAACAUGCAGGACUGGUACACAGGUACCACAUGACAGCUGUUAGAAUGAAAAGUGAGCAGCAUAGUUCUCUAUUGGUCAGAACUCCAACUUAAAAAGAUCUGUGAGAUUAACCUGACCAGUUAGGAUUAAAC